rnacentral:rRNA from 2 species
UUUACACAUGCAAGUCGAACGAACUGAUUAGAAGCUUGCUCUAUGACGUUAGCGGCGGACGGGUGAGGUAACACGUUGGCAACACUGCCGUAGAAUGGGAUAAACUUUGGGAAACCGAAGCUAAUACCGGAUAGGAUCUUCUCCCUCUUGGGAGAUGAAUGAAAGAUGGUUUUUGCUAUCUCCUACAGAUGGGCCCGCGGUGCAUUAGCUAGUUGGUGAGGGAACGGCUCACCAAGGCAACGAUGCAUAGCCGACCUGAGAGGGUGAUCGGCCACACUGGGAGUGAGACACGGCCCAGACUUCUACGGGAGGCAGCAGUAGGGAAUUUUCCGCAAUGGACGAAAGUCUGACGGAGCAACGCCGCGUGAGUGAUGAAGGCUUUCGGGUCGUAAAACUCUGUUGUUAGGGAAGAACAAGUACAAGAGUAACUGCUUGUACCUUGACGGUACCUAACCAGAAAGCCACGGCUAAAUACGUGCCAGCAGCCGCGGUAAUACGUAGGUGGCAAGCGUUAUCCGGAAUUAUUGGGGGUAAAGCGCGCGCAGGCGGUUUUUUAAGUUUGAUGUGAAAGCCCCCGGCUCAACCGUGGAGGGUCAUUGGAAACUGGGGAACUUGAGUGCAGAAGAGAAAAGCGGAAUUUCACGUGUAGCGGUGAAAUGCGUAGAGAUGUGGAGGAACACCAGUGGGGAAGGCGGCUUUUUGGUCUGUAACUGACGCUGAGGCGCGAAAGCGUGGGGAGCAAACAGGAUUAGAUACCCUGGUAGUCCCCGCCGUAAACGAUGAGUGCUAAGUGUUAGAGGGUUUCCGCCCUUUAGUGCUGCAGCUAACGCAUUAAGCACUCCGCCUGGGGAGUACGGUCGCAAGACUGAAACUCAAAGGAAUUGACGGGGGCCCCCCCAAGCGGUGGAGCAUGUGGUUUAAUUUGAAGCAACGCGAAGAACCUUACCAGGUCUUGACAUCCUCUGACAACUCUAGAGAUAGAGCGUUCACCCUGCGGGGCCAAACCCCAAC